UGUUAUAGUCCUGCGAGUGGUUCUUCAGUAUUGCUCAUUUCUGAUUGUGUGUGUGUUUAGCUUUCACAGUAUCUAAAGUAGCCCUAAAAUAAAAUGCACAUGCUUCUGAUUGUUACUUCCUGUAAAAUGCUUUCAGAGAUUGGCAGAACCUGUGCGUACUGACUCUUUGCUGGCAUUGUCUGAAGGAUACUAUUCUAGACAGUUUAGUUAGGCUGAGUUUCUUACACAGAGCAGCUGAGAGUGUUAUUUUCUCCUUCCCGCUCCCAUAUUGAGAGAUCAUUGUGGUAUUUCAUCUGUGCUGGAUUGUGAGUUGUUGAAAUUGAUCUUCUUCUGAGCAGCCAGUUGUGUAGAUGGAGCUGUUUCAUUUUUAAGUGGCGGUGUAAGUGUGGCAGGACUUUGUCAGCUGGAAAGUGUUGGUUUGUGUUUGGUUCCAUGUGCUGUGUAGGUGAAGGCACUCCGUGUCACCGGCAGUUGUUGCACAGUAGCUCAGGAACAAAGGUGCAGCAGGACUGCUCUCUGGCUAGGUUUCUGUAGCUGCCUUUUGAUUUUGCAGAAAAAGCCACCCCGUGAGAAUGGCCAUAAGCAGAUAAGUGGCAGUUCCACUGGAUGUCUCUCUUCUCCAAAUGCUUCAGUGCAAAGUCCUAAGCAUGAGUGGAAAAUCGUUGCUUCAGAAAAGACUUCAAAUAACACUUACUUGUGCCUGGCUGUGCUGGAUGGUACAUUCUGUGUCAUUUUCCUUCAUGGGCGGAACAGUCCCCAGAGCUCACCAACAAGUACUCCAAAACUGAGCAAGAGUUUAAGCUUUGAGAUGCAGCCAGAUGAGCUCCUAGAAAAGCCUAUGUC
rnacentral:lncRNA from 1 species